CACGUAGGCGGUUCGUCAAGUUGGAUGUGAAAUUCCAUGGCUCACCCAUGGAGCUGCAUUCAAUACUGACGGACUGGAGUGCUGGAGGGGAGAGUGGAACUCUUGGUGGAGCGGUGAAAUGCGUAGAUAUCAAGAGGAACGCCGGUGGCGAAGGCGACUCUCUGGACAGUGACUGACGCUGAGUGUGCGAAAGCCAGGGUAGCGAACG
rnacentral:rRNA from 1 species